GUAUGUAUGAAGACUUUUCUCCAUUCACGUUUACUAAGCCUCGUGAGAAAGGAAUCUAUUUAGUUUUUAGUGUUUUAGUCUUUUUUAAAGGGGUCUUUUGUAUCACUGGGAUUAUUACCUAGAAUUACCAACAGUUUCUAUUUUCUUAUUUUGUCCUCUUGUACAGAGGCAGUUUGCUGUAUGUCUACAGGAGGGAAAGAUUAAGCAGGAAGAGGAAGGACCCAGAAGUAAAGGAAGCUGCUACAAUGUAAAUGACCAUCUUUCCUUCCAAUUUCUCUUGGGACAGAGACUAUCCUGGCAACAACCCAUCUUUGUAUGCAGAUGUGAAGAGGAUCUAAAGUGCACUAAGGCAUCCAUCAUUAAUAUUGACGUGUGUCCUUGGACUCGCUCUUGAAUGAAAGCACCCAUGUUGGAUGUUGGUAUGUUUUCAACAAAGGAUCCUAGAUGAGCAGGCUUAUGUCUAUAAGGCAGAACUGUUUGCAAGGUGAUACAUUGCUGAGAAGACUGCUGCCACAUAGUGAACAAGACACGUGCAUGUGUGUCAAUGACAUGUAUAUUUUGUUUCUUUGUAUACAUUGCCUAUUGUAUAACUCACAGUUUGUAUUUUCUUUAAUAAAACUAAAUAAAAAAUAUUUUAAAAUGU